rnacentral:rRNA from 1 species
CCAGACUCUACGGGAGGCAGCAGUAGGGAAUCUUCCGCAAUGGGCGAAAGCCUGACGGAGCAACGCCGCGUGAGUGAAGAAGGAUUUCGGUUCGUAAAGCUCUGUUGUUAGGGAAGAAUGAUUGUGUAGUAACUAUACACAGUAGAGACGGUACCUAACCAGAAAGCCACGGCUAACUACGUGCCAGCAGCCGCGGUAAUACGUAGGUGGCAAGCGUUGUCCGGAAUUAUUGGGCGUAAAGCGCGCGCAGGUGGUUUAAUAAGUCUGAUGUGAAAGCCCACGGCUCAACCGUGGAGGGUCAUUGGAAACUGUUAAACUUGAGUGCAGGAGAGAAAAGUGGAAUUCCUAGUGUAGCGGUGAAAUGCGUAGAGAUUAGGAGGAACACCAGUGGCGAAGGCGGCUUUUUGGCCUGUAACUGACACUGAGGCGCGAAAGCGUGGGGAGCAAACAGGAUUAGAUACCCUGGUAGUCCACGCCGUAAACGAUGAGUGCUAAGUGUUGGUCUCAUAAGAGAUCAGUGCUGCAGCUAACGCAUUAAGCACUCCGCCUGGGGAGUACGACCGCAAGGUUGAAACUCAAAGGAAUUGACGGGGGCCCGCACAAG